UGGCUCAGUUGGUAAAGAAUCUGCCUGCAAUGCAGGAGGCCCUGGUUCGAUUCCUGG
rnacentral:tRNA from 1 species